ACACGUAUGAAAGUCAAGCUGAAAGACUUUACUCAAUGAUGUAAGUGGUGGUGCAUGGCCGUUCGUAGUUCGUGGAUUGAUUUGUCUGGUCUAUUCCGAUAACGAGCGAGACCCUGACGUUCCUAAUAGGGGUGGCAGCCCGGCUGGCCGCAAGGUCAGCUAGCUGCUGCUUUUGUUAGCUUCUUGGACGGAUCAGAGCCGAUAAGGUUCUUGAAAUGGGUUAAUAACAGGUCAGUCAUGCCCUUAGAUGUUCUGGGCCGCACGCGCGUUACAGUGGCAUGUAAAGCAAGUGCUGGUGUCAGUGUUCCCGGAGUCGAAAGGCUGUGGUAAUCCCUAGUCCUUGCCAAGACUGGGAUAGACCAUUGCAAUUAUUGGUCUUAAACGAGGAAUUUUUAGUAAUCGCAGGUCAUUAAUCUGCGAUGA
rnacentral:rRNA from 1 species